GCCGCGCCCGCUGUAGGUCCCUACUCGGGAGGGGGGGGCGGAGCCGGGCCGGCGCCGCGCGUGCGCACUGCGGCGCGGAGGCUCGGCUGCGGCGCGGCUGGUGUCCGAGGUCCCUAAGGCUGCGCCGGUCCGCGCUGGGUCUCCGUGCCGCCGGGCGCCCGAGACGGAGCAGUGCUCGGGUGUUGGGCUCAGGGCUCGACCCAGCGCGUCCACACCCACUGCAUGCAGCGGUCGUGCUCAGCCUGCAUGCAGUGCCCGCAGGCUCAGGAGCCUCACUGCAGAAGGAGAACCGAUCUACUUCCAUCAGCGGCCCGGCGGACCGUUCGUGAGCGCCCGCUGGGUGCCGGCGCUGGGUCCAAGCCCAGGGCGCGGUAGCUCCCCGCCCUCGUGGAGCUUGAAGUCCAGCAGCGAGCGAGUGAAGGCGAGAGAGACAAGGAGCCCAGCUCUUCAGCCUCCAAAUUCCUCCUCUUGUGAAAAAGCAGCCGUGAAUGACCUAGCCUUGAGUUGGGUUCGAAUCCCGACUCCUUUCCAUCCUGCCUUCGGGACCUUGGGCGAAGAGAUCCCCUGAUCCCCUGACCUCUCUGAGGCUCGCAGUUUCCAUUACUAAAGGUGGAAGAGGUCAUACCUGAAGCCCAGAGUCUCCUCUAUCACGUACAUGGUUGUCGGGGCCAGACGAGGCAACGAUGGCGGGAAAGUCUGGAGACGGUGUGAGCUCAUUUAAUGCGUGUUUUGUCCUGCUGCUUGGACUCCGAUACCAUUUGCUGGGAACCUCCUUCCACCCCCGACACACGCGCACUUUUGACCUUUCGGAAAGAAAGUGUGCCUAAAAUAGAUCCGUCUCUGAGGAAAGAAGGGGGCCAGUCCCAAUAAAAAGUGACUCAGACGUUGCUUCCUACAAAAUAAAAGUGCUUCCUAGGAAGGGCAGACUGUGGCAGGGAGCAGCAAUUUCUCCAGGAAUAACCGUCAACAGUUUAUUUCAAAGCUCCGGAAGGAGCAAGGCGGGAUUCCAACACCUUCCUGUUGGAGGCCAGAGGUCAGGGUGCGUGGACGUUGGCCAGAAGCAGGGCGAAGAUGCAGGGCCGGGGCGAUUCUUCCACACGAAGUGGAGUUCGGGAAGACCCGUGUCAGCCACAGGACCGGCAGCUAGGCAAAAAUGCCCCCCCCCCAACUGAAAUAACAAGAGCUGAGCAGAGAGCAUGCCUACCCAGAGAGGGAUCACCGACGGCAGGUUCUUCCCCCACUGCUCUUUGCUGCAAUGCCAGACCUUCGUUCCUGAUAAGGGAGCUUCCUGGUUCUCUAUCUUCUGUGGCUCAGAAAAGCUAGCGGGCCUUUCCUCACAAAAACGCAUUUAUGUACAAAGAGUUCAUAUCCAUAGGGCAGAGAGUUCCAGCUCCCUCCAGAGUGGGAUGGCCUUGGGAAGGGCACCGAAAAUCUAGCUUGGCCACUGCCUAGACAUCGCUGGUGGCAAAAGGCGCUAAAUGCGGGAAAAAAACCGUUAAUUCUAGGUGUUGGAGAAACAGAAGGCUAGGCAUUCGAGGAUUUUCCCUAAAAUGUAGCCGAAUUGUCGCCUCCCCUUUUAACUUCCACUCCUGCAUUGCAGUUCUAGCCUCUGGAGUCACCCGCAGUCGAUGGACAGUACCACUGGCUUUCCCGGAAAGGUUUCUGGAGUUAGAGCUGGUUAUAAAUCCCAGCUCAGGCAAGAAGCAGCUGUGAGUCUGCUCCCUAACCUGUGUGAAACUCAGCUUCUCAUGUAAAAUUCAGGGAACAAUAGGACCUAGCUCACAGGGCAGUUGUCAACAUUAAACAAGAGAAAGCAGGUCAAGGCUUAGCAUAGUCCCUGACAGAUUUACAUUUCUCAGAAGCCCACAUUCAGUCACAUAAAAUGCUUUGUGGACUGUCUGGAAAUGGGGGUAUUUACAGCCUGGAAAAGGGCCCAGCUGGAAUAGAGACCACUCCCAUAGACCCCCUUAAAGUUGACAUACUGUCCCCUCUUUAAAGGAAGGAGAGUUCAUCUGGAAAUGUUACUUCUGGCCGUUCAACCAGGGACGUUCUCCCCCAUCCUGUUUAGUUUGCCUAGUCCGUUUUCAGUGUUCCAUAGAUCACCUCUGUUAUAGGCUGAAUCACGUCUCGGCAAAAAAAAAAAAAGAGUUGUUAAAGCCCUAAUCCCCAGUGAAUGCAAAUGCAAGUUCACCCCAGUGGAUGUGACCUUAUUUGGAAACAGGGUCUUUGCAGACAUAGUUAAAAUGAAGUCAUUAGGUGGGCCCUUAUCUAAUAUGAUUGGUGUCCUUAAAGAAGAAGAAAUUCAGAGAGGCGAAUGCCCUGUGGAGACAUAGAGAAGCACGGGGAGAAAGGGCCAUGUGAAGACAAAGCCACAUGGGAGUUCUGUUCCCACAAGGCAAGGGACACCCGGAGCUGUCAGAAACCGGAAAAGGCAAGAAAGGAGCUUUCCCUAUAGCAUUCCGAGGGAAUAGGGCCCCGAGGACACCUUGAUUUUACACCUCUAGCUCCCAGAACUGAGACAAUGAAUUUCUGUUGGUUACAGCAGCCCUAAGAAACGAAUUCCAGCUCCCAGAUAGGAUUACCUAACAUACAGGAGGAGGCAAGACAGCUUUGAGAGCUCUGUGUGCAGAUCGUGGUUCCUGAAGGUCAGAGGAACUCCUUCCGAAUCAGGUACUCAGCUGGUCAAGGAAGUGAUCCCUCGAAGCCACAGAACGUCAUCUUUUGAAAUCAUUGGAAAAUGGGUGGAGGCAACGGAUCCCCUGAACCGGAGAGAACACAGAGCCCAGGCUACCACGGCGAGAAGCAUCUGCUGAAGGAGAGCGGCUGUGUUAGGUAGCAUUGCACCCUGCGGAUUCCAGUUUUAUCUUUCCCGUCAAUUAAUACGAUGGGAAAAUACUUGUAGUGUUCGAUCAUGUCUUCCACCGAAUUAAAUUUCUGAAACACA